GUCAGACUUUUUUCUUUUGGUCCCCCACCCCCGUUUUGAAAUUUUGUAUUUCGUUUCCAUAUACAUCAAGAUGUUUGAAACUUAAAAAAAGAAUAAUGUUUUUCCUAGAAGACUCUGCUAGAAAAGAAAAGGAAAAAGGAAACAAAAACCCUACGGGCGCCGUCCCCAGGAGCGCCGAGAUCGCCGAGUUAGGAAGCCCGGCCAGUGCCUGGGAAGUGUGUGGUCCCUCUUAACUGCUGCCAGCUGAGGAGGAGAAGGCCACGUUUUGCUUAGGUUGUGUCAGCAUCAUCGCUUACCAUCCUGGUCAUCUUCCAUGGGAAGGAGGAAGGGGAAAUUAGAUUCCUUGAGAGAAGGUGAGUUAUCCCCUUUUAUGAUUCUACUAUGGAAAUUCUUCUGAAGAUGUAAAAGGAG
rnacentral:lncRNA from 1 species